rnacentral:rRNA from 1 species
GGGCCCGCACAAGCGGUGGAGCAUGUGGUUUAAUUCGAAGCAACGCGAAGAACCUUACCAGGUCUUGACAUCCUUUGACCACUCUAGAGAUAGAGCUUUCCCUUCGGGGACAAAGUGACAGGUGGUGCAUGGUUGUCGUCAGCUCGUGUCGUGAGAUGUUGGGUUAAGUCCCGCAACGAGCGCAACCCUUAUUGUUAGUUGCCAUCAUUUAGUUGGGCACUCUAGCGAGACUGCCGGUGACAAACCGGAGGAAGGUGGGGAUGACGUCAAAUCAUCAUGCCCCUUAUGACCUGGGCUACACACGUGCUACAAUGGGAAGUACAACGAGUUGCGAAGUCGCGAGGCUAAGCUAAUCUCUUAAAGCUUCUCUCAGUUCGGAUUGUAGGCUGCAACUCGCCUACAUGAAGCCGGAAUCGCUAGUAAUCGCGGAUCAGCACGCCGCGGUGAAUACG